AAGCGGAGGAAAAGAAACUAACAAGGAUUCCCCUAGUAACGGCGAGUGAAGCGGGAAGAGCUCAAAUUUGAAAUCUGGCAGUCUUCGAUUGUCCGAGUUGUAAUCUAUAGAGGCGUUUUCCGUGCCGGACCGUGUCCAAGUCUCCUGGAAAGGAGUAUCAAAGAGGGUGAUAAUCCCGUACUUAACACGACCACCGGUGCUCUGUGAUACGUCUUCUACGAGUCGAGUUGUUUGGGAAUGCAGCUCAAAAUGGGUGGUGAAUUCCAUCUAAAGCUAAAUAUUGGCGAGAGACCGAUAGCGAACAAGUACCGUGAGGGAAAGAUGAAAAGCACUUUGGAAAGAGAGUUAAACAGUACGUGAAAUUGUUGAAAGGGAAACGAUUGAAGUCAGUCGUGUUCUUUGGAUUCAGCCAGUUCUGCUGGUCUACUUCCUUGGAACGGGUCAACAUCAGUUUUGUCCGGUGGAUAAAGGUAGUAGGAAUGUGACUUCUCCGGAAGUGUUAUAGCCUAUUAUCACAUACACUGGGUGAGACUGAGGACUGCAGCUCGCCUUUAUGGCCGGCCUUCGGGCACGUU
rnacentral:rRNA from 1 species